rnacentral:rRNA from 1 species
AUUGAACGCUGGCGGCAUGCCUUACACAUGCAAGUCGAACGGCAGCACGGGAGCAAUCCUGGUGGCGAGUGGCGAACGGGUGAGUAAAGUAUCGGAACGUGCCCAGUCGUGGGGGAUAACGUAGCGAAAGUUACGCUAAUACCGCAUACGAACUAUGGAUGAAAGCGGGGGAUCGCAAGACCUAGCGCGAUUGGAGCGGACGAUAUCAGAUUAGGUAGUUGGUGGGGUAAAGGCCCACCAAGCCGACGAUCUGUAGCUGGUCUGAGAGGACGACCAGCCACACUGGGACUGAGACACGGCCCAGACUCCUACGGGAGGCAGCAGUGGGGAAUUUUGGACAAUGGGCGAAAGCCUGAUCCAGCCAUGCCGCGUGCAGGAUGAAGGCCUUCGGGUUGUAAACUGCUUUUGUACGGAACGAAAAGGUUUGGCCUAAUAAGCUGAGCUCAUGACGGUACCGUAAGAAUAAGCACCGGCUGACUACGUGCCAGCCGCCGCAGUAA